UACGGAGGGGGCUAGCGUUGUUCGGAAUUACUGGGCGUAAAGCGCACGUAGGCGGCUUUGUAAGUAAGAGGUGAAAGCCUGGUGCUCAACACCAGAACUGCCUUUUAGACUGCAUCGCUUGAACGUCGGAGAGGUGAGUGGAAUUCCGAGUGUAGAGGUGAAAUUCGUAGAUAUUCGGAAGAACACCAGUGGCGAAGGCGGCUCACUGGACGACUGUUGACGCUGAGGUGCGAAAGCGUGGGGAGCAAACAGG
rnacentral:rRNA from 1 species